UAUAUAUAUAUAUAUAUAUAUAUAUAUAUAUAUAUAUAUAUAUUCUAUCAUGUAGAUCGAAGUUGAUACUAAUUAUUUUGUUUUGGUUCCCAAUUAAGCAGGUGCACAUGCAGCUACGAUCACCUUCACCAACAACUGCCCCUACACCGUAUGGCCGGGAACCCUCACCUCCGCCCAACAACCCCAACUACCCACCACUGGCUUCGAGCUAGCACAAGGAGCCAACAACCAGGUCAUCACUCCAGUUCCAUGGAAUGGCCGCUUCUGG
rnacentral:lncRNA from 1 species